AGAAAGAAGCCUUUCCGCCUUCCUACUCUGUAACCCUGCUUUUCGUUUCCUGUGUGUCCUUUCAGAGCUCCUUUUGCUUUCAAAAGCAAAUACAAAUACGGGCAGCUUCUGAAUGGAUGGCCAAGUGACUCUGGAGCUUCCGCGCUGUGUGAGGGCUGGGCUUUCUGUCCCUGUUCACCCUCGAACCCAGGCUUCAGCCACCGCACGGGAGAAGAUGGUUCAGACCACACCUCUACCCUGACUCAGCACACACAGCUGUACCGUCAGGGGCUGCAAACCAACAUCUCUCAGGGCCUUCCUGGAAGCUGCGGCUGGACUCCCCUUGUACUCCAGGGGAGCAUCCCUGGAGGCCCAGGUCGGGGCUCCUGGAGGGUCCCUGGGUUCUGGGGGACAGAAGAACAGGGAGGAAGAAUCCAGAUGUGGCUCACUGGGCUCUGUGGAUCUGGCACUGGAACAGCUGUCCAGGCUUUGGGGCCCCCGACACCCCUGCUGCUCUCCCUCAGGCCCCAGAUCUGCUUGGGCCCCCAGUGGGCAACCGCUCGGUGCUGGCCCACCACAGGGAAAUAUUCCGGUGGAGGGGGAUCUGAGACUGCCUUGGCCAAUAGAAUGCAGCCAAUGUGGUGCUAUGCGUCUGCCUGGCCUCGGCCUUGAGAGACCUGGGAGCUUCCAUUUAUGUCAUCUUGGAGUGCUGAGUUACCUUAAAGAAGUCUAAAACUCAGAGAGACCAUGUGGAAAGAGAGGAGCCAGCGGCCCUGCAGUCCUUCCAGCCUCCCAGCUGAGGCAACAGACAUGGUCAGAAGCCAUCUAGGACCUUCAGCGGCAGUGAAGUCUCCCCAGUCGAUGCCACACAGAACUGAGAUGAGCUGUUCUCACCAAGCUCUGCCCAAGUUCCAGAGCUAGGAACAAAUAAACAGUUGUUUUAAACC
rnacentral:lncRNA from 10 species